AGAGUUUGAUCCUGGCUCAGGAUGAACGCUGGCGGCGUGCCUAACACAUGCAAGUCGAGCGAAGCACUUUGCUUUGAAUCUUUCGGGAGGACGAGUGAUUUGACUGAGCGGCGGACGGGUGAGUAACGCGUGGGUAACCUGCCUCACACAGGGGGAUAACAGUUAGAAAUGGCUGCUAAUACCGCAUAAGACCACAGCACCGCAUGGUGCAGGGGUAAAAACUCCGGUGGUGUGAGAUGAGCCCGCGUCUGAUUAGCUAGUUGGCAGGGUAAUGGCCUACCAAGGCGACGAUCAGUAGCCGACCUGAGAGGGUGACCGGCCACAUUGGGACUGAGACACGGCCCAAACUCCUACGGGAGGCAGCAGUGGGGAAUAUUGCACAAUGGGGGAAACCCUGAUGCAGCGACGCCGCGUGAGCGAAGAAGUAUUUCGGUAUGUAAAGCUCUAUCAGCAGGGAAGAAACUGACGGUACCUGACUAAGAAGCACCGGCUAAAUACGUGCCAGCAGCCGCGGUAAUACGUAUGGU
rnacentral:rRNA from 1 species